GGGGGCUGUGGAACAGAGGAUCUGAAGCAGACUCUGUGCUGACAACAGAAAGCCCAGUGUGGGGCUCGAACUCAUGAACUUUGAGGUCAUGACCUUAGCUGAGUUGGAUGCUUAACUGCCUGAGCCCCCCGGGAGCCCCAAUGCUUGUCCCUUUUUAAACACUGAAUUACACUCUGCUUUGUGCCUCAAUUAUUAUACAGUAAAACCUUGGUUUGCGAGCGUGAUUUGUUCUAGAAACAUGCUUGUAACCCAAAGCACUGGUAUUUCAAAGCAGAUUUCAAGAACCAUGGGCUCAUUUGUGAUCACGUGAUGUUUGUGGCAUCACAUACUACUUGUAUUGCAAGACAGCACUCGUUGAUCAAGUUAAAAUCUAUUAGAAAUGUUUGCUCGUCUUGCAGAACAUUCGCAGAACAAGUUCUCACAAUCCAAGGUUUUACUUGUACUUUUGUGGUUCUUUUUCACUAAAUUCUUGUUUCUUUGUUUUAUUUACUUUUGAGAGAGCGAGAGAGACAGCAUGAGUGGGGGAGGAACAGAGAGCGGGAGGGAGAGAAUCCUAAGCAGGCUUCUCUCUGUCAGAGCACAGCCCAACUCUGCACUCAGUCUCGUGAACCAUGAGAUGAGGAAUCUGAACAGAAAUCAAGAGUCCGAAGCUUGACUGACUAAGCCACCCAGUGACCCAGUCCUUUCGGCAGAGUGUUCAUUUAUGCUCAAGACCUUAUUUAUUGUCCAGCAAAAGCCAUAUAAAAUAUUACCUCCUUCAUGAACUCCUGCCCAGUCUUCUCAGGCAGAGUUUGGCUUCAAACCCAACACAGGGCUUGAACUCACAACCCUGAGAUCGUGGCCUGAGCCGAGAUCAAGAGUCGGACACUUAAGCAAAUGAAUUCUCUCUGGGAGAAGGAGUCCAGCACAGCAUUCAAGAGCUGGGAUUUGGAGCCAGAUUACCUGGAUGCAAAUCCUGGUUGUACAGUUCAUUGCCCCUGGGACCUUUGGUGAAUCGUUUAACGUCUGCUUUAGUUUCCUCAUCAGUCAAAGGGGAUUGAAAUCCGUGUCUACCUUUAUAGGUGGUUGUGAGAAUUGAGUUAGAUUGUUUGGUAGUGGUUUUUAAGUUCUUGUUAAAUAAAAUUUUAAAAUAAAACACUCUGACCUUCA